AAGAAGCCACAGGUCCAAACAACAAUGGCUUCCUCCUCCUCCUCCUCCUCUUCUUCUUCUUCUUCUUCAUUAUUAUGAAACAAAGGCCAGUUCCAUUGUAGCCCCAUAGCCCUCAAACAUCUACGUGAUGUGAGCAAUCUCUGAGGACAACAGUUAUGGCGGUAGAGUUUGUUCAUGGACCCAACUUUUGCUUCUCUUCAACACCUUCAAGAGUACUCUCCAUCCCUUUUUAACUAUUAUCUUCCUGCGGUUUUUCUUUUUUGGGAUGUUUGGAAUUCAAAGUGGGUUUUGGGUUGGUUUGUUUUGUAAAGCAGGGGAUUGUUUUGUCAGUAAAGUUUGUUCUUUUAUUUGUAUUCAGUGGGUUUUAGUGCUGCUUAGUGUGUUUUCCUUUGUUGUUUGAUGUGGGCUUUCAUUAUUUGAAUCUCUUGUGAUGAUUUGAAGGACAUGCUAUCUGAGUUAUGUAUAUUAUGGGAAAUUUUUUCUGAAAUUGAUUUAUUUUUAGUGCUCCUUUAUGAUUAUCCAGAUUUCUAGGUCAUUUUCAUAGAGAUUUUGUUGUGAUGUUCUUUGGCUUCUGAUUGUGCAUCCUUUCUCUUAGGAAGAGGGACAUUUUGAUGAACAAUUNN
rnacentral:lncRNA from 1 species